UACGAAGGGGGCUAGCGUUGCUCGGAAUUACUGGGCGUAAAGGGCGCGUAGGCGGAUAUUUAAGUCGGGGGUGAAAGCCCCGGGCUCAACCUGGGAAUGGCAUACGUGACUGGCAAACUAGAAUAUGGCAGAGGGAGGUGGAAUUCCAUGUGUAGCAGUGAAAUGCGUAGAGAUAUGGAGGAACAUCGAUGGCGAAGGCAGCCUCCUGGGCCAAUAUUGACGCUCAGGCACGAAAGCGUGGGGAGCAAAC
rnacentral:rRNA from 1 species